UCUCAAUGCUUCACACAGGCAGGAUCCUGCAGCACUGACAGGAGCUAAGAUGCCCAGGGUGAGAGCUCCUGGACUCAAACCUUUUGCUCCUGACACAUUCCCCUCUUUUACAAUGGUAAGCGUAUAAUCUGCUUAGUGACUGCAGUGAUCUCAUAGAGGAUUUUAAAUGGGCUGGGCUGCAGGAAGACUCUGACCCAACAGUGUUUACUUUAGCCCAUCUGACGGAUUGCAAGUCCCCAUGAAGUAAUCCAGUUGGAGUGAAAUCCAGAUGGCUCCAAUCUCUUUUCCACUAAGGAGUUCAGUUAAUAUGUAAAAUUAAUAAGAAGGAACUCUUCCGGCCCAUGCUCUCCCAGUACUGCAAAGCAUCGUGGCAGGAAGUGAAGGACAAGAUUUUAGGUCAGGUCCCUGAUGCUAUUAAGGAGGUAUCCAGCUGGACCUGCUGGUGAUUCAUGCACCCAACAGCAGGAGAUGUGACUGAAUCAGGAUGGCAAGAAACAAAUGCAGAUACCAACGUGGGACUGGCACAUCCUUACACGUAACUUUUGGGUUCUGCAGGAAAGUGGAGGAUUCCAGGAAAGGUCCCACCGUUGCUGUCAUUUCCACAAAAAUACUUUGAAAAUUGAUACAUAAUCUCAUUAUUUAUGAAAGACUCUCUCACAAAUUCCUUUCUGUGUAAAACCAGUGUGUAAAACCAAUAUUUUCUUCUUUAAUCCCUUUGUAAGUUAUAAGAAAUCUGUUCUAUUUUAAAUGGCAGAAAGCACCUUUCAACACCAAGGCAGCAUGUAAGUCAAGCUCUCACCCUAGAUCAAGAAAUUACCAGCUGGCAGUGGAGGGAGCAUAACAACAAUUAAAGUCAACUCAUCACUCUCCUCAUCCUCCCUCACUUUCCUCCUUCAGCUGUCUCUGCAUUAAAGCUGGCAAAAUAUCGACAGCCAUUAGACAGCUGGCACACAGAGUCCUGUCACUUUAUCAUGCAGUAUUACAUGAGUCUAUAUGACAAAAAUGAAGAUACAAAUGUGUCAUCUGCUAAAACUGUAUUGUCAUUUUGUCUCCUAAUAAAUAAUGGUGGUUAAGGGGUAUUUUUACUUUGGUUACUAGUAUAUGUCAAAACACAUCACCACCUAUCCACUGCCAUGGUUACCCACAAGAAUGAACUCAAAUGUGAACAUGCCAUAAUCACAUCCAUUGUCUACUAUUCCUUGCACCUCUUCUAUCUGUUGGACUAUUCACUUAGUGACAUUUGAGAGGAGGAAAAGGAUCUUCAGCUUCUUGGUAUGGGCAUGUUUAGGGCCAUCCAUGAGAGCGAAGCAUCUUAUUGCUCCUGCAGUGUGAGCAAAGAGGGAUUAAUUAUGAGUUUCAGAACAUGGACAUGAAAAAAGCAACCAUGUGGGUUUGGAAAUACUGUCAAUAGGAAAAACCAAAACAAUUAAAAAAACCUUUAUCCUGCUGUGA